UAUAUUUAAAUAUAUAUAUAUAUAUAUAUAUAUAUAUAUAUAUAUAUAUAUAUAUAUAUAUAUAUAUAUAUAUUUUUUUUAUUGGGGUAGCCCCCAAAAUAUUGGAUCAUAUGAAAAAAGACAACUCUGUUCCGCAGAGUAGCUGUUGACAUUAUAGUUGUGCAGGAACUUUGUUGACUCUAGAGAACCUCAGGCAAAUCGCACAAGCCAGUGGCGGCGACUUUGCAUGCGGAUGUCAUCCAUAUCAACUUUUGAUGCCAGUUUCUGCGUCUACAAUGGUGACCACGGGUAACGGGGAAUCAGGGUUCCAUUCCGUACAGGGAUCCUGAGAAACAGCUACCACAUGCAAGGUAGGCAGCAGUUGCGCAAAUGACCCACUCCCGACGCGGGAAGGUAGUGA